AGGUUUCGGGCCAAAAAGCUGAAAUAAAGAACGAAGUCAAUAAUAAUAUGGAGUGUAUGAGAAAUAACUGGAAAAUUCAUCAUCCAUGGCUUGAAGAAAUUGACAUUUUACGAGUUAUAUUUUCGACACUGUUCUGGUUAUGAUGGACACCACAAUGAAAGAGACCUGGUCCCUGUCUUGAGGAAACCCAGCUGCUGGUAGAGAGCUCAGAGUAAUGAUUAGGAUGCAAUAUGAGGGAUGCAGUAAUUGGGGUGUUUGGAACUUCCUCCUUUGUUUGUCUCUCCCUGCUGCCUUGUAAAGAAGUUGCCUUUUUCCCCUUCCACCAUGAUUGUCAUGCUACUGGCCCCGCCCAGUUAUGUAACAACUUGCAUUUCCUCAAUUCUCUGGAAUGUGGCCAGUCAGGAACUUCCACAUUUGCUUUUUUUUUUCCCCCCAUUUGUGGGUAAGAAAGUAAAAGAGGCAGAAAAACUAAAUUGAGAAAGAAGAAAGAAUAGGGGAAGAGAGAAAGAAAAAAGAAAACCAUGAAGUCUAGAAGGGGAGAAAGAAGAGAUAGAUGAGCAAAGAAGCACAUUGCCUGGUGGUAGUAAUAGUUGUCAGACACCCAUCUAUUAUAAUCUGUUUUCCAUGGGAGAUUUUAGGAAGAGGCAAGAUCCCCAAUCUGUCUUAAAAUCAAGAAAAGGGACCCUGUUACCUCUAAAGUAUACUUCCAGACUCAGCAAUCUCUAAAUUCUGAGUGGGCAUCCCUAGUUUUGCUGCCUAAAAUCUACGACAGCUGGAAAUGAUUCCAUUUAAGAUCCAGUUCAAGAAGCUACACACCCUGAGGAACUUUAUGUUGCCAUUUAAAGGACCGAUAUUCUUCAGAUUGCUUGAGCCCAGGAGUUCGAGACCAGCCUGGCAACAUGGCAAAACUCCAUCUCUACCAAAAAAAAAACAAAACUAGCUGGGCAUGGUGGUACACAUCUGUAGAACUAGCUACUCUGGAGGCUGAGGUGAGAGAACCCCUUGAGCCUAGGAGAUGGAGGUUGCUGUGAGCUAAGACUGUGCCACUGCACUCAAGCCUGGGCGACAGAGCCAGACCCUAUAUCAUAAAUAAA